CAGUAUCGUAAGGGCAAUUUGGCAACAAUGGAAGGAAACAAAAAAAUUGCCGUAAAGAGACUGAUACCGAAAGUUGGUCGCAGUUUUCAAGAUGGCGUCUGUAAAUUUAUACGCGAGAAAUCGCAACGAAGACAAAAUAAUGUUAUUUUUUAAUUGUUUUGACGAUGCAAAAGCUUACAUAAAAAGAAAUGAAAUUGAUACGAAUAACCGUUACAUGAUGGGUUACAGCACAAAAAAACUUUGGUAAUUCAGUUGUUACUUCAUCCUCCCAUAAGGUUUGUUGGGUCCAUGGGGUGAACCCUUACAUGUAUGUGAGCCUAGGACAUCAGGUUCUGAAAUGCCAACAUGGUACAGAAAAGAACAAGAAGAAAAAACUGGAAAAGGAGAAGACAAUGACAGUUAGCAGUGAGCAACACUCAUAUGCUAAAAAGAAAACAAGGCAUGCAGUGCAGCCCUCACAAAAAAUGGACUGUCCUGCUUCUAAUACUGAACAUUUACCAAGCUCUACAAUAUUACAGUAUUUGCAUAUUUUGACGAUUUAAAACAUUUAAAAGUUUAAGCAUUACGAAGGAAUAAUUUCGCGAGUUCUGUUGUUAUCAUUAUAUUUUGUGACAGUACGAUGAUUGCUGAAUCAUAUAAAGUAUAACAUACACAUAUUACUUACUAUACGAGCACGGAUGGGCGAGUUGUUUACGUUCUAAGAUUUUUUCUCAAAUGGUCAUUUGUUUGAGACUAGUUAAGGAUCACUUUUUUAUAUUUAAUUUUAUUCUUGUUUAAUUAUUGAGCUAUUUAAUUCCGAUGUUAACAUUUAUCUUU